GUGUUUCCGGAGCGCCUACUGUGUGCUCCUCCAUGGGGGUGGGGGCACUACCGGGCACAAAGAGUGUCAGUCCCCGUACCUCUGUAAGUUCGUCUCUUCCUCUGGGAGCUUGCCCUUGUGGGGAUGGGGAAACUGAGGCUUGGUAGGUGCGGAGGCUAACUCCCAGGUGCUAAGGGACCGGUUGUUUUGUCCGCCCGUGGGGUCGCGGCGAAGGCCACUUUGGAUAAAACCUCAAGCCUAGCGCAGAGGGUCGGCCAGGGGUGAGUACAGGCUGCGCCCCAGGAGCGUGGGUGAGGCAGGCAGGUACCGUGUCGUAAUUUGGAGGUGGCCGCCGUUACUCGCUGGUCCCUGACUUACCACGUGUGCCAGUGUCCUUUGGCCCAGGUGGGUCUGAUGAUAGAGCCCGACUGAGCCUUUCCCUUGCUGGCUAGCCCCAGAUGGAGAGGGUGAGUCUUGGCGCUUCCAGAGGUCCAGGCUAGUGUCAUUUUUCCUCAAGUUUUUCUUGCCUCCAGGUUCCCUGACUGUCUGUCUCUUGCUUUCUGCAUUAGUGUGACGGAGCCUAACUCCAGCUAACAGAGACCUUUUCUGGGUUUAUGACCCUACAGGCCCAGGAAACUGAGACCCACGUGCCAGUACCAACAGCGCUGGAACAAUCUUCUCUUGAUUACUAUUUUCUAAAUACUGUUAUCUUACAGUCUUUACUGUUGAGUUUGGGUCAGACUUAAGAGCGGCACACGUGCUUCAGCUAAGUGACAGAGACAACAGCUGUCAUUGCUACUUCAGGACCAACUUUUGUUUUUCAUUGCACUGUAGUCACAAAAACUUUGGGGACAAAAGUAAACCUCUCCUCCCAGAAAGCCCUAAGCCAGUCAGGAUGCUGAUUAAAAGCAUCUUGAGGUGGGUUUCAUAGAAGCCAGACUUGCCUGAAUAUCCUUUAAUCCAAGAUGGCCAUCCAGAAUCUAAAACAUUGCCCAGAACCCCCCUUUUUACCGAUGGAGAAACCAAAGCUCAGAGAGUUGGUCAAAGCAGUUUCUUGGCCAAGUCAUAGUCCAUCCACAGACCUUUGAAAGAAUGAAGGAGAUGGGAAAUCUUAGGUAAGAAAGGUAAAAACCACUUAGGUCUUGGCAAAAGGCAGGGGACCUUCAUAUAGGUGUGACUUGGAGGGAUAAUGAGGGACAGACAGCCUGGUGAGUCUGGAGAUGUGACCGCUUCUUAGCUGCUAAGCUUGGUCUCAUUCUAGGCAUGGGCAGCAGGUAUAAGAGCCUUAUCUUUUCUUUGGGACAGGACUCUCCACAGAUUCCACCAGUGACAGCCUGCUAAGCCAGUGUCCUCAAGUCUACUCAGAUGAGUGACAUGUUCUUCCCCAUGCUGGGUGACAGUAAGGAACUGUGCCGAGCAUGGUGACCCACGCUUUUAAUCUCAGCACUUGGAGGUGAAGACAAGUGGAUCUUUGUGAGCUCAAGGCCAUCCUGGAGUACAAAGAGAUCUGCUGUGUGACACCGCCCCCAAGAGGUCACGACCCCAGAUUGAGAACCACUGUUGGGAGAGCUUGAGAACCUGUCUCUGUACUGCCAGACAAAUAGGUAGAGAGCCUUCAUCCAUCCUGGAAGGAGAGAGCCUUCCUGACAGUGAGCUGGGGGUGGGGGUGUCUGACCUCUGGGGAGGGUCUGGAGUGAGGCAGGAGAGUGGCUGCUGGGUCGUCUUCCUCUGUACCCUGCUCUGUAGCAGAGAGCUGCAGGUCAGAGAAGCUGGUGGGGAGGAGACUCUGCCUCGUGCAGCCCUGUUCCUAGGGUUCUUGGUGGUCACAGAGGCGCAGUAAAUGUCGCAAGAAUCUGCAUUGGUUGGAAGUGACAAAGGGACCAGCUGUGACAGGUAGUCACCUCAUCUGAAGAGGUCUGGGAUCCUUCCCGGAUGGAGGAGGAGCCACAGCAGGCCAGCCUUCAGGAUGGCGAUUCAUGGCUCCUGUGAGAUUCUUGUCUCCAUCCCACGUGGAUUUCCCACUUAACUGCUUCUUUUGUUUGUUUGUUUCUUUUUGUUGUUUUUGUUUUGUUUUGGGGUUUUUUUUGUUUUGUUUUGGUUUUUGGUUUUUUUGAGACAGGGUUUCUCUGUAUAGCCCUGGCUGUCCUGGAACUCACUCUGUAGACUCAGAAAUCCGCCUGCCUCUGCCUCCCAGGUGCUGGGAUUACAGGCCUGCGCCACCACAACAAUCUCUUUUUAUUGCAAGAUAUUUCCUAUCCAUUCACAUUGGGGCAAUGAGAGGCUGGUGAUUGGAGAGGAGA